rnacentral:rRNA from 1 species
UAGGGAAUCUUCCGCAAUGGACGCAAGUCUGACGGAGCAACGCCGCGUGCGUGAAGAAGGAUUUCGGUUCGUAAAACUCUGUUGUUAGAGAUUAACAGCGCAUAGAGUAACUGUUAUGCGUGUGACGGUAUCUAACUAGAAAGCUACGGCUAACUACGUGCCAGCAGCCGCGGUAAUACGUAGGUGGCAAGCGUCGUCCGGAUUUAUUGGGAGUAAAACGAGCGCAGGCGGUAGAUUAAGUCUGAUGUGAAAGCCGCCGGCUCAACCGGGGAAGGUCAUUGGAAACUGAUUAACUUGAGUGCUGAAGGGAAGAGUGGAAUUCCAUGUGUAGCGGUGAAAUACGUAGAUAUAUGGAAAAACACCAGUAGCGAAAGCGACCCUCUGGACUGUAUCAUACGCAGAGGCUCGAAAGCGUGAGUAGCAAACUGG